rnacentral:rRNA from 1 species
ACGGGGCUAAACCAUGCACCGAAGCUGCGGCAGCGAACGUAUCACUUAAAGCGAUUCAGCGGGUUACGAUUGACGGAGCGAAGCGACGUCAAAGCGUAUACAAAGUCGAGUCGGUUUAAGGAUACGUUCGUUGGGUAGGGGAGCGUUCUGUAAGCCUGUGAAGGUGUGUCGUGAGGCAUGCUGGAGGUAUCAGAAGUGCGAAUGCUGACAUAAGUAACGAUAAAGCGGGUGAAAAGCCCGCUCGCCGGAAGACCAAGGGUUCCUGUCCAACGUUAAUCGGGGCAGGGUGAGUCGACCCCUAAGGCGAGGCCGAAAGGCGUAGUCGAUGGGAAACGGGUUAAUAUUCCCGUACUUGGUGUUACUGCGAAGGGGGGACGGAGAAGGCUAUGUUGGCCGGGCGACGGUUGUCCCGGUUUAAGCGUGUAGGUGUGUGUUCCAGGUAAAUCCGGUUCACUUUAACACUGAGGCGUGACGACGAGGCACUACGGUGCUGAAGCAACAAAUGCCCUGCUUCCAGGAAAAGCCUCUAAGCAUCAGGUAACAUCAAAUCGUACCCCAAACCGACACAGGUGGUCAGGUAGAGAAUACCAAGGCGCUUGAGAGAACUCGGGUGAAGGAACUAGGCAAAAUGGUGCCGUAACUUCGGGAGAAGGCACGCUGACACGUAGGUGAAGUGAUUUACUCAUGGAGCUGAAGUCAGUCGAAGAUACCAGCUGGCUGCAACUGUUUAUUAAAAACACAGCACUGUGCAAACACGAAAGUGGACGUAUACGGUGUGACGCCUGCCCGGUGCCGGAAGGUUAAUUGAUGGGGUCAGCGCAAGCGAAGCUCCUGAUCGAAGCCCCGGUAAACGGCGGCCGUAACUAUAACGGUCCUAAGGUAGCGAAAUUCCUUGUCGGGUAAGUUCCGACCUGCACGAAUGGCGUAAUGAUGGCCAGGCUGUCUCCACCCGAGACUCAGUGAAAUUGAACUCGCUGUGAAGAUGCAGUGUACCCGCGGCAAGACGGAAAGACCCCGUGAACCUUUACUAUAGCUUGACACUGAACAUUGAGCCUUGAUGUGUAGGAUAGGUGGGAGGCUUUGAAGUGUGGACGCCAGUCUGCAUGGAGCCGACCUUGAAAUACCACCCUUUAAUGUUUGAUGUUCUAACGUGGACCCGUGAUCCGGGUUGCGGACAGUGUCUGGUGGGUAGUUUGACUGGGGCGGUCUCCUCCUAAAGAGUAACGGAGGAGCACGAAGGUUGGCUAAUCCUGGUCGGACAUCAGGAGGUUAGUGCAAUGGCAUAAGCCAGCUUGACUGCGAGCGUGACGGCGCGAGCAGGUGCGAAAGCAGGUCAUAGUGAUCCGGUGGUUCUGAAUGGAAGGGCCAUCGCUCAACGGAUAAAAGGUACUCCGGGGAUAACAGGCUGAUACCGCCCAAGAGUUCAUAUCGACGGCGGUGUUUGGCACCUCGAUGUCGGCUCAUCACAUCCUGGGGCUGAAGUAGGUCCCAAGGGUAUGGCUGUUCGCCAUUUAAAGUGGUACGCGAGCUGGGUUUAGAACGUCGUGAGACAGUUCGGUCCCUAUCUGCCGUGGGCGCUGGAGAACUGAGGGGGGCUGCUCCUAGUACGAGAGGACCGGAGUGGACGCAUCACUGGUGUUCGGGUUGUCAUGCCAAUGGCACUGCCCGGUAGCUAAAUGCGGAAGAGAUAAGUGCUGAAAGCAUCUAAGCACGAAACUUGCCCCGAGAUGAGUUCUCCCUGAGACUUAAAGUCUCCUGAAGGAACGUUGAAGACGACGACGUUGAUAGGCCGGGUGUGUAAGCGCAGCGAUGCGUUGAGCUAACCGGUACUAAUGAACCGUGAGGCUUAACCUUACA